rnacentral:sRNA from 1 species
ACUCAGCCCUGAUGGGAGCGGCAUCCUCGCAGCGCAGCGGAGAGAUACAGCGGACAGCAGGAACACGG